AGGUGUCCGCUGCGAAAUGGGAUGCUCGGUGCCUAUGCCAUGCACACCCCCCGACCCAUCAAGGAGGAUGGGUGCAUGGCAUAGGCAAUACCCCCCCGUCGUUGGGUGGCGACGGGGGGAUGUCGGUCCGGUGGUCUCCGACCGCCGUUCCGACCGUCGGUCCGGUGAAAACGGUCAGGUGGGCUAGUAGGGCUUUGUUGCUAUUUUUCGAGAGGAGAGGGACGGCACACCUCGAAUUUCGAUCUCGCUAACGUACUAGAAGGGCAUUCGUGACCAUGGCUUCGGCUUUGGGACGAGCGAGCGAACGGAAAAUGCUGCGGUCGGGUCAAGAUUUGGGUUUUAACCUCUCGUUGGAGCGCAGCACUGUCUCUAUUUUCUCGUCUGGCCGUUGAUGGAGAUAAUUCAUUAUUCUCCAUCCUGUCCCGUCGGAAAUUUUUAAAACUUGGUCAGGUGGCCUAGUAGGGCUUUGUUGAUCUUUCUCGAGGGGAGAGGGACGGUUCAUCUCGGAUCUCGAUCUUUCCAACGUAUUCGAUGGGCAUUCGUGACCAUGGCUUCGGCUUUGGGACGAGCGAGCGAACAGAGAGUACUGCGGUCGGGUCAAGAUUUGGGUUUUAACCUCUCGGGGGAGCGCAACACUGUCUCUACUUUCUCGUUUGGCCGUUGAUGGAGAUAUUUCACUCUUCUCCAUCCUGCCCCGUCGGAAUUUUUUAAAACUUGGUCUGGUGGGCUAGUAGUGCUGUGUUGAUCUUUCUCGAGGGGAGAGGGACGGUUCAUCUCGGGUCUCGAUCUUUCCAACGUAUUCGAUGGGCAUUCGUGACCAUGGCUUCGGCUUGUGCUAACUUGAUGCAUCAAAAGGUUUGUUGCGGUGGGUUGGGCGUAAUGGAGAAUCGUUGGUUUCUUAAAAUGCUUUCCAAAUGUCCCUUAAAGGUUUUCGUCCCUCGGAUUGCGAUUAUUCGUUAUGCUCCAUAUCAAAACAUUCCGAAAAAAAUGCGGAAGAACUAGCAUGCUUCGGCUUGUGCUAACUUGAUGCAUCAAAAGGUUUGUUGCGGUGGGUUGGGCGUAAUGGAGAAUCGUUGGUUUCUUAAAAUGCUUUCCAAAUGUCCCUUAAAGGUUUUCGUCCCUCGGAUUGUGUGUUCUUCACGUGAAGCGGUGCUGGUGUGGUCUUGCUUGAUGUUUCCGCAUUCUCAGCGGUUCUAGUAACCGUUGGGCUGUGGUUCGUUUGGUUGGGUCAUCAUCAGACGUACGCAACUCAUGUGUGAGUGGUGGUCGGAUGGCAUGGGUCUGCAAGCUCCUUGCUCAGUGCAACGAAUUGUAAGCCCUCCAUCCUUUUCAUAGUCUUCCCGCAAGCAUGUUCAUUUGCCUUGUGGGUAAGAUCGGUAUCCUGUGUUUUUUACCAAUUGAAUGGAAUUCGAUUGUUUUGGUUUCCUUAUUCGCUCGGUUCCCUUAGGGGUGUUGGGUGGACGGUAGGCUGACCUCGUGUUCCAGGUGCACCUCACAUUUUUGUGUGGUUACCAUGGCCCAUGGGGUUAUGCUUGUUCUGUUGGAUGCGGACCGUUAGUUGUGGGCGAGGGGUUGCGACCUCCAUUCGUCCAAGCUAUAUUAUGCAUUUGUCAAUCGACACGAACGACUGCCGCACUCGUCUUGGCUUUUUACAGUCGAAUGGCUGUACAACGUCCAUGCGAGUGUCGGUGUCGUGAAGGAAUGC
rnacentral:misc_RNA from 1 species